CCUGUUCUUCAGUGCUGAGAAUGGUAUGGUUCUCUGAGCCUCUCCCAGAGGAUGAGUUCCAUCCAGUCCUGGCUCUUGAUUCACUCAGAAAAGACCUCAGAGGAAAGAAGUUUCUGGAACAAGAGAAAGACUACUGAAAUGCAACCUUACUUCUUCAGUGAUCCAGGGAGAGGUAAUCUUGACAAGCAACAUGGGGCUUGAACUCAAAACCCUCUGGGCUCACGACCCCAAGAUCAAGAAUUGUAUGUUUUACCAACUCAGUCAGC